rnacentral:lncRNA from 1 species
ACCAGAAGCCAAGCGUGCCAGGAUCUGCUCGACCGCGCGAAGGCGAGCAGAAUCCCAAGCAUUGAAGAAUUUUCUAAGGCAUGCAAAGGCUCAUCAAGUCUCAAAGCCUGUUUAUGGCGAGACCAGAUGUCGAGCGUGCCAGAAUCUACUCGACCGCGAAGGCGAGCAGAAUCCCAAGCAUUGAAGAAUUUUCUAAGGCAUGCAAAGGCUCACGAAGUCUCGAAGCCUUUUUAUGGCGAGACCAGAAGCCAAGCGUGCCAGGAUCUGCUCGACCGCACGAAGGCGAGCAGAAUCCCAAGCAUUGAAGAAUUUUCUAAGGCAUGCAAAGGCUCACGAAGUCUCCAAGCCUGUUUAUGGCGAGACCAGAAGCCAAGCGUGCCAGGAUCUGCUCGACCGCGCGAAGGCGAGCAGAAUCCCAAGCAUUGAAGAAUUUUCUAAGGCAUGCAAAGGCUCAUCAAGUCUCACAGCCUGUUUAUGGCGAGACCAGAUGCCAAGGGUGCCAGAAUCUGCUCGACCGCACGAAGGCGAGCAGAAUCCCAAGCAUUGAAGAAUUUUCUAAGGCAUGCAAAGGCUCAUCAAGUCUCAAAGACUGUUUAUGACGAGACCAGAUGCCAAGGGUGCCAGAAUCUGCUCGACCGCACGAAGGCGAGCAGAAUCCCAAGCAUUGAAGAAUUUUCUAAGGCAUGCAAAGGCUCAUCAAGUCUCAAAGACUGUUUAUGGCGAGACCAGAAGCCAAACGUGCCAGGAUCAGCUCGACCGCGCGAAGGCGAGCAGAAUCCCAAGUAUUGAAGAAUUUUCUAAGGCAUGCAAAGGCUCAUCAAGUUUCAAAGCCUGUUUAUGAUGAGACCAGAUGCCAAGCGUGCCAGGAUCUGCUCGACAGUGCGAAGGCGAGCAGAAUCCCAAGCAUUGAAGAAUUUUCUAAGGCAUGCAAAGGCUCAUCAAGUCUCACAGCCUGUUUAUGGCGAGACCAGAUGCCAAGGGUGCCAGAAUCUGCUCGACCGCACGAAGGCGAGCAGAAUCCCAAGCAUUGAAGAAUUUUCUAAGGCAUGCAAAGGCUCACGAAGUCUGAAAGCCUGUUUAUGGCGAGACCAGAAGCCAACUGUGUCAGGAUCUGCUCGACCGUGCGAAGGCGAGCGGAAUCCCAAGCAUUGAAGAAUUUUCUAAGGCAUGCAAGGGCUCAUCAAGUCUCAAAGCUUGUUUAUGGCUAGACCAGAUGCCAAGCGUGCCAGAAUCUGCGCGAUCGCGCGAAGGCGAGCAGAAUCCCAAGCAUUGAAGAAUUUUCUAACGCAUGCAAAGGUUCAUCAAGUCUCAAAGCAUGUUUAUGGCGAGACCAGAUGCCAAGCGUGCCAGAAUCUGCUCGACCGCGCGAAGGCGAGCAGAAUCCCAAGUAAUGAAGAAUUUUCUAAGGCAUGCAAAGGCUCACGAAGUCUCAAAGCCUGUUUAUGGCGAGACCAGAAGCCAAGCGUGCCAGGAUAUGCUCGACCGCGCGAAGGCGAGCAGAAUCCCAAGCAUUGAAGAAGUUUCUAAGGCAAGCAAAGGCUCAUCAAGUAUCAAAGCCUGUUUAUGGCGAGACCAGAUGCCAAGCGUACCAGGAUCUGCUCGACCGCGCGAAGGCGAGCAGAAUCCCAAGCAUUGAAGAAUUUUCUAAGGCAUGCAAAGGCUCACGAAGUCUGAAAGCCUGUUUAUGGCGAGACCAGAAGCCAAGUGUGUCAGGAUCUGCUCGACCGUGCGAAGGCGAGCGGAAUCCCAAGCAUUGAAGAAUUUUCUAAGGCAUGCAAAGGCUCAUCAAGUCUCAAAGCCUGUUUAUGGCUAGACCAGAUGCCAAGGGUGCCAGAAUCUGCUCGACCGCGCGAAGGCGAGCAGAAUCCCAAGUAUUAAAGAAUUUUCUACGGCAUGCAAAGGUUCAUCAAGUCUCAAAGCCUGUUUAUGGCGAGACCAGAUGCGAACCGUGCCAGAAUCUGCUCGACCGCGCGAAGGCGAGCAGAAUCCCAAGCAAUGAAGAAUUUUCUAAGGCAUGCAAAGGCUCAUGAAGUCUCAAAGCCUGUUUAUGGCGUGACCAGAAGCCAAGCGUGCCAGGAUCUGCUCGAACGCGCGAAGGCGAGCAGAAUCCCAAGCAAUGAAGAAUUUUCUAAGGCAUGCAAAGGCUCAUGAAGUCUCAAAGCCUGUUUAUGGCGUGACCAGAAGCCAAGCGUGCCAGGAUCUGCUCGAACGCGCGAAGGCGAGCAGAAUCCCAAGCAUUGAAGAAUUUUCUAAGGCAUGCAAAGGCUCAUCAAGUCUCAAAGCCUGUUUAUGGCUAGACCAGAAGCCAAGCGUGCCAGGAUAUGCUCAACCGCGCGAAGGCGAGCAGAAUCCCAAGCAUUGAAGAAGUUUCUAAGGCAAGCAAAGGCUCAUCAAGUCUCAAAGCCUGUUUAUGGCGAGACCAGAUGCCAAGCGUGCCAGAAUCUGCUCGACCGCGCGAAGGCGAGCAGAAUCCCAAGUAUUGAAGAAUUUUCUAAGGCAUGCAAAGGCUCAUGAAGUCUCAAAGCCUGUUUAUGGCGUGACCAGAAGCCAAGCGUGCCAGGAUCUGCUCGAACGCGCGAAGGCGAGCAGAAUCCCAAGCAUUGAAGAAUUUUCUAAGGCAUGCAAAGGCUCAUGAAGUCUCAAAGCCUGUUUAUGGCGUGACCAGAAGCCAAGCGUGCCAGGAUCUGCUCGAACGCGCGAAGGCGAGCAGAAUCCCAAGCAUUGAAGAAUUUUCUAAGGCAUGCAAAGGCUCAUCAAGUCUCAAAGCCUGUUUAUGGCUAGACCAGAUGCCAAGCGUGCCAGAAUCUGCUCGACCGCGCGAAGGCGAGCAGAAUCCCAAGCAUUGAAGAAUUUUUUAAAGCAUGCAAAGGUUCAUCAAGUCUCAAAGCAUGUUUAUGGCGAGACCAGAAGCCAAGCGUGCCAGAAUCUGCUCGACCGCGCGAAGGCGAGCAGAAUCCCAAGCAUUAAAGAAUUUUCUAAGGCAUGCAAAGGCUCAUCACGUCUCAAAGCCUGUUUAUGGCGAGACCAGAUGCCAAGCGUGCCGGGGUCUGCUCGACCGUGCGAAGGCGAGCAGAAUCCCAAGCAUUGAAGAAUUUUCUAAGGCAUGCAAAGGCUCAUUAAGUCUCAAAGCCUGUUUAUGGCUAGACCAGAUGCCAAGCGUGCCAGAAUCUGCUCGACCGCAGGAAAGGCGAGCAGAAUCCCAAGCAUUGAAGAAUUUUCUAAAGCAUGCAAAGGUUCAUCAAGUCUCAAAGCAUGUUUAUGGCGAGACCAGAAGCCAAGCGUGCCAGAAUCUGCUCGACCGCGCGAAGGCGAGCAGAAUCCCAUGUAAUGAAGAAUUUUCUAAGGCAUGCAAAGGCUCACGAAGUCUCAAAACCUGUUUAUGGCGAGACCAGAAGCCAAGCGUGCCAAGAUUUGCUCGACCGCGCGAAGGCGAGCAGAAUCCCAAGCAUUGAAGAAUUUUCUAAGGCAUGCAAAGGCUCAUUAAGUCUCAAAGCCUGUUUAUGGCUAGACUAGAAGCCAAGCGUGCCAGAAUCUGCUCGACCCCGCGAAGGCGAGCAGAAUCCCAAGCUUUGAAGAAUUUUCUAAGGCAUGCAAAGGCUCAUCAAAACUCAAAGCCUGUUUAUGGCGAGACCAGAUGCCAAGCGUGCCAGAAUCUGCUCGACCGCGCGAAGGCGAGCAGAAUCCCAAGCAUUGAAGAAUUUUCUAAGGCAUGCAAAGGCUCACUAAGUCUCAACGCCUGUUUAUGGCGAGACCGGAAGCCAAGCGUGCCAGGAUCUGGUCGACCGCGCGAAGGCGAGCAGAAUCCCAAGCAUUGAAGAAUUUUGUAAGGCAUGCAAAGGCUCACGAACUCUCAAAGCCUGUUUAUGGCGAGACCAGAAGCCAAGCGUGCCAGGAUCUGCUCGACCGCGCGAAGGCGAGCAGAAUCCCAAGCAUUAAAGAAUUUUCUAAGGCAUGCAAAGGCUCAUCAAGUCUCAAAGCCUGUUUAUGGCGAGACCAGAUGCCAAGCGUGCUGGGGUCUGAUCGACCGUGCGAAGGCGAGCAGAAUCCAAAGCAUUGAAGAAUUUUCUAAGGCAUGCAAAGGCUCACGAAGUCUCAAAGCCUGUUUAUGGCGAGACCAGAAGCCAAGCGUGCCAGGACCUGCUCGACCGCGCGAAGUUGAGAAGAAUCCCAAGUAUUGAAGAAUUUUCUAAGGCAUGCAAAGGCUCAUCAAGUUUCAAAGCCUGUUUGUGGCGAGACCAGAUGCCAAGCGUGCCGGGAUCUGCUCGACCGUGCGACGGCGAGCAGAAUCCCAAGCAUUGAAGAAUUUUCUGAGGCAUGCAAAGGCUCAUCAAGUCUCAAAGCCUGUUUAUGGCUAGACCAGAUGCCAAGCGUGCCAGAAUCUGCUCGACCGCGCGAAGGCGAGCAGAAUCCCAAGCAUUGAAGAAUUUUCUAACGCAUGCAAAGGUUCAUCAAGUCUCAAAGCCUGUUUAUGGCGAGACCAGAUGCCAAGCGUGCCAGAAUCAGCACGACCGCGCGAAGGCGAGCAGAAUCCCAAGCAUUGAAGAAUUUUCUAAGGCAUGCAAAGGCUCACGAAGUCUCAAAGCCUGAUUAUGGCGAGACUAGAAGCCAAGCGUGCCAGGAUCUGCACGACCGCGCGAAGGCGAGCAGAAUCCCAAGUAUUGAAGAAUUUUCUAAGGCAUGCAAAGGCUCAUCAAGUCUCAAAGCCUGUUUAUGGCGAGACCAGAUGCCAAGCGUGCCAGGAUCUGCUCGACCGCGCGAAGGCGAGCAAAAUCCCAAGUAUUGAAGAAUUUUCUAAGCCAUGCAAAGGCUCAUCAAGUUUCAAAGCCUGUUUAUGACGAGACCAGAUGCCAAGCGUGCCAGGAUCUGCUCGACAGUGCGAAGGCGAGCAGAAUCCCAAGCAUUGAAGAAUUUUCUAAGGCAUGCAAAGCCUCAUCAAGUUUCAGAGCCUGUUUAUGGCGAGACCAGAUGCCAAGCGUGCGAGGAUCUGCUCGACCGUGCGAAGGCGAGCAGAAUCCCAAGCAUUGCAGAAUUUUCUAAGGCAUGCAAUGGCUUAUCAAGUCUCAAAGCCUGUUUAUGGCAAGACCAGAUGCCAAGGGUGCCAGAAUCUACUCGACCGCGCGAAGGCGAGCAGAAUCCCAAACAUUGAAGAAUUUUCUAAGGCAUGCAAAGGCUCACAAAGUCUCAAAGCCUGUUUAUGGCGAGACC